rnacentral:lncRNA from 1 species
GCCCACCUCGCUUUGAUGGAGGAGAACGCAGAUUUGGUGACAGGGAUGGGUACCGUUCAGGUCCUCGUGCACCAGGGGGUGAUUUUGGUGACAAGGGUGGAGCACCUGCUGACUACAGACCUUCUUUCGGGGUAAUAUUUCCGUUGUCAAGCAGUUUUUUUUUAUAUAUUUAUCAUUUAGGUACUAUGUCUUUUUACCAUGUAUUGGGUUGGAGAUCAAUUGCCUUCCGAUGAUAUUCUAUUCUUCUUUACAUUUUGGAAUUGUAUUCUAUCUGAUCCCAAGUACCUUGUUAAUGAGGACUUUACAAACUUAUAUACUGCCCACUUAAAUGUGUUUUAUGAUUAGAAGAUUUCCUCACUUUGGAAAAAUGAUGCAUUUGUUAACUCAUUAUGGUUCUUUCUCCCGAAAUAUCAGGGUAGUAGGCCUGGCUUUGGUCGUGGUGCCGGUGGAUCUGGUGGAGCUGGUGGUUUUGGUGCUGGCCCAGCAAGCUCUGAUCUCUCCUAAGGAAAUGGAUUACUUGGACACCGUUUGGUUUCCUAAGUUUGCAUUUAAGAACGGAUGACAUUCUGUACUUGGAGAGAAUAGCAGUUUUGUUUGACUUGCAAGAGUCUUGGGAUUGUAUUAGAUGUUUGUUUUUAUUCUAUAUGGUCUAUGAAUUGCACUUUGCAAAAUUUAUUUUCUGUUUUCUAUAUGUCGUUGAGAAAUUUCGUAUAUGACGUUUAAUAAUUAUUUUCCUGCGUUUUUUGACCGUCAUUUUUGUGCGACCUUCAGUAACAUGUCAUAGUUUUUGUCUUGGUAUUUCGAAUGGAAAAUCUGAUACUUAUCUGGUUUGAUGUGUUCCAGCAUCUGUAGUUUGUAUAAGUUUCGUAUGGUAUUGCACUUCUCAAUAGAAAAUGUUAUCAAAACACAUAAAAUGUAUGUAGCGGUCAAGCCAAGAGUAUAGCUCGUUAUUAGAGACAAUUUCUCUAAUAAUUGAGAGAUUUUGUGACUUAAAAAGAAGCAGCAGCAGAAGUAAUAAAAAAACAAAGAAGAAGAAAGAAAUUGAAACUAGUCUUGCAUGGGCACAGUGGGCAUUUGUUGGCCCAAGCCUAUUUGUGGGCUAGACUAGACUAGCUCAGCCUUCCUAAUUGGAAAGAUUGGACUUUAAAAUUACUUUUGGCUCGUCCCAAACCUGAGGUUUUAACUCAUUUUCACCCCAGCCUAGAAUUCUUGGCUUUGGUGACAAUAAAAAACAACUAUUGGGCCUAAACCCUCCAUUAGGCAUUUGCUUGAGUUUUAUUAUUUGAUGCACAAUCUCACUCAUUAUACGAAAUAUAAUAGCUAUUAAUUAAUUGAAGUGUAAUCCAAUACAAUAGGAACAUUCACAAUUAGCAUCAUCCUAAUUCGAUUUUAUCCCAAUGUUUCUACAGUUAAUUAUUUAUCUAUCUUCUCAAUGUUGAAAGAGGUCCAAAGUUUGAAAUCGCUUCCCCUAUGAAUUAGGAAAUAGCUCUUUUACAUUCUCCAACAUGAUUUAAAAAAACAUAUUUAUUUUUCAACCAACCAAAAAAAAAAAAAAUCCAAAGUGAAAAUAAUAGGCUAAGGCCAAGAACAAGGCCCAUAAACAAAACUAACACAAACAAUGCCCAUAAAAUUUGCCCCAAACCGACUACAAAUCGCAUACAUCAGAGAUUUAGGAUUUACUUCAGAGUAGACGAUAACGAGUGCGAGAGACGCCUCAACCUUCUUUGUUUGCCGCAGUCUCUUCCUCUAGUCGUCAGCUCAACUUCGCAACCAUGGUAUUUCUCUAUGCAAUUCUCUGUUUGUUUCGUGUGAAACAAUUGUUGGCACUAAAACUAAACAUAUAGAAAUAGAAGCAACUUACAGGUGACGUGGAUGGUCUAAGGACCGAUUGAGCCCUUGGUAUGAGCACGUUAUUAGGAUGUGAGGCUGGGCCUAGGCUAAGGACAGAAACAACAUAUGAGGUCUAGAGAAACAAUGUGGUACCAGCCGAAGACCUUUCAAUGCUAAAGUAAGUUACGAAAAAACUUUGCUAUUGAUAAAUGCUAGAGCAUGAGAAUCAAGUUGAAAGUCUUACCUUAUGUCUAGGGCAAGAGGCCCUAUCUAUAGAGAGUGCUUGGUAUGCUUUUAGCACUUAGUUUCGAUAUGGGACUCUUGGGAGUGUCUUAUGAGGUCGACACGAGUCUCCGCAAAAUAUCUAAAUGGGGGGGAGGGGUUCGAGGUUGUCCUGCAUAAUCGGCACAGCAUACCGAUUGUAUGUCCGAGGAACUUCUGGAACGCUUGCCGAUUAGGAGACUGACAGCUAUACUGGGUAAUGAAUCGGUCGCGGAUACCGAUUUUCAUACCUAACUGAUGUAUCAGUGGGACGCAGUGUUUCCUAGCUUCAUACUCUUUCCACGUGUUAUGAUGUAAGUGGAGCGAUCAAAUACGAUACAAACUGUAAUGAAAAAGAAAAAGAAAAGUUGGUUGUCCAUAGUUCUGAUCUGUUACAUUCAGUUUUUUCUAUCAUAGAUCAUCCCAUAGAAGAACAUGAGAGAAAUCUCCAAAUACAUAUUCCAAGGUACACACAAAAAGCUUAGAUUUUUAUUUAUUCUCAAUGAAAUUUGGUUCUUCGUUUCCAUUUUUUUUGUUAAAAUUUCUUGAAUUUAAUUUGAGUAAAGGGAGUGUGCUAUGCAAAGAAGGACUUUAAAUUGGCAAAGCACCCAGAAAUCGAUGGGCCAAAUCUGCCAGUGAUUAAGCUGAUGCAGAGCUUCAAAUCCAAGGAGUAUGUGAGAGAAACUUUCGCUUGGAUGCACUACUAAUGGUACCUAACCAAUGAUGGUAUUGAGUUUUUGAGGAACUACCUCAACCUUCCGUAUGAGAUUCUCCCUACGGCUUUGAAGAAGCAAGCCAAGCCUCCGGUCGCCCCUUGGGCCCAUCUGAUGACUGCCCACGGUAAUUAAUUUGUUUCAUCAUAUUUAUUUGUCAUUGGAUCUAUUGAUUUUUGUAACUGGGAUUGUUUCUUUGAGUGUUUUGCGAACUGGGUUUGAUUAUUUGAAUAACUUAUGGUAGCGACUUGUUACUAUGACCUUAUUUGAUGGAGUUAUGUGGUUCUUUGUUCUAAUUGUAAAUGGCUAUUCGAAUAGGUGGUUUGUGUUAUUUGGUUUGGCUAAUAAGUUAGUAUGCACAUGUAAUUUGUACAGGAAGUCGUUAAUUUGGUAACUGUGGCCUUGCUUAACUGGUUUGAUGUCUUCCAGCAUCCAUGUAGUUUGUUUGAGUUUAGUAUAGUAUCGUUCCUCUCAACAGAAAAGGUCAUAAAAAAACUUAAUGUAUUUAGCAGUUAUACCAAGAGUACAUCUCAUUAUUAGAGACAAUUUCUCUCAUAAUUGAGCUAUUUUGUGACUGAAAAAAGAAGAAGCAAAAGUAACAAAAAGAAAAAAGAAGAAGAAAGAAAAUGAAACAAGUUUUGCAUGGACACAGUGGGCUUUUGUUGGCCCAAGCCUAUUCGUGGGCUAGACUAGACUAGCUCAACCUUCCUAAUCGGAAAGAUUAUACUUGAAAAUUAUUUUUCCCUCAUCCCAAACUUGAGGUUUUAACCCAUUUUCACCCCAGCCUACAAUUCUUGGGCCUAAAGCUCCAUUAGGCAUAUGCAUGAGUUUUAUUAUUUGAUUCACAGUCUAACUCAUUAGAAGAAAUAUAGUACCUAUUAAUUAAUUGAAGUAUAAUCCAAUACAAUAUGAACAUUCACAAUUAGCAUCAUCCCAAUUCGAUUUUAUCCCAAUGUUUCUAUAAUUAAUUAAUUAUCUUUUCAACAUUGAAAGAUGUCUCAAGUUUGAAAUCACUUUCCAUUUGAAUUAGAAAAAAGCUCUUUUACAUUCUCCAACAUGAUUAAAAAAUAUUUAUUUAUUUUUCAACCAAAAAAGGAAAGGAAAAAAAAAAGAAAAAAAAGGGGGAAAAUAACAGGCUAAGGCCAAGAAUAAGGCCCAUAAACAAAACUAACACAAACAAAGCCCAUAAAAUUUGCCACAAACUGACUAUAAAUCGCACACAUAAGAGAUUUAGGGUUUACUUCACAGUAGACGAUAACGAAUGCAAGAGAAACUUCGACCUUUUUCAUUUGCCAUCAUCUCUUCCUCUAGUCGUCAGCUCAACUUCGCAACCAUGGUAUUUCUCUAUCUAAUUUUCUGUUUGUUUCCUUUGAAACUGAAAUAGAAUGAAAAUGAAAAUGAAAAUGAAAAGUUUGUUGUUCAUGGUUUUGAUCUAUUAGAUUUGGUUUUUUCUAUCCUAGAUCAUCCUAGAGAAGAACAUGAGAGAAAUCUCCAACACAUGUUCCAAGGUACACACAAAAAGCUUAUAUUUUUAUUUAUUCUCAAUGAAAUUUGGUUCAUCGUUUCCAUUUUUUUGUUAAAAUUUCUUGAAUUUAAUUUGAACAGAGGGAGUGUGCCAUGCGAAGGACUAUAACUUGGCAAAGCACCUAGAAAUCGAUGUGCCAAAUCUGCAAUGGUAAAUUAUUGCAUGUUCGUUGUUGUGCUUAUAUUUUAAGUUUAAUUGUGCAAGAUGGUUUGAAAACAAUAAAUCAAUCUGUAGCCAACAUUAGAAGUUUAGUAACCAUCUUUCAUACAUCACCGACCAAGUACCAAGUUUUUCUAACAUGUUGUCAAAAUAUAGGGUUAAAACUCAUAAAUGUUCCAUUAAAUGUGAAAACUAGAUGGAAUUCAACUUAUAAGAUGUUGGAAGUGGCUACAAAAUAUAAAGCAGCUUUAGGAUUAUUUCAAACAAAAAUCAAACAUCAACCAUUUUUAAUAGAUGAAGAUUGGGAUAUUGCAUCACUUUGGAGAGAACAUUUAGUUCAAUUUUAUGGAUCCACUGAAAUAAUUUAUGGCUCUCACUAUCCAACUAUUCUUUUAGUACUAAAAGAAAUAACUAAAAUAAAAGACAUUUGUCUUGAAAUUGAAAACAAUGAUCUUUUCCAAUAGCUUAAUGUUUGUGAUAUGAAGUCAAAAUUUGCAAAGUACUUUGGGGAUUUGCCCUUGAUUUAUGGUUUGGGUGUAAUUUUAGAUCCAACGAAUAAAACAAAAAAAAUUAGAAGUGCUUUGUGAAAUUCUUUAUGAAGGAAAUUCAAAUACAUUUGUGAAAAAGUGCUCACAACAUUAAAAGAGUUAUAUGGAGAGUAUAAAUUAUAUUUGUCUUUGCAUGAUAGAUCACAACAAGAACGAGCAGUACCUACAUCAUCUACAUCUUGCACUUCAACAUUUAGUAGAAAAAUAAGUCGUGUGGAUGACCUUUGUGAUUCUAAAAGGUUAAACACAAACAAUUUUUCAUAAUGAAUUAUCACACUAUCUUGAUUCACACACAAAUGAUCAUGAUGAAAAUAAUCCUUUAAGGGCUAGUUUGGCAUUGAUGUGCUAUGAAAAUAAUCGCUGUCAGAUUUGCUAUGAGAGAAAACAUUUUGGCGUUUGGUAAACUUUUUGUUAAAAGUGUUGUUGGUACUGAUUCCCACAUAAUCAGAAAAUGAUUGCCGCAUAAUCAUUAAACUCAGCGCCUCUUCGAAACUGAUUCCUGCAUAAUCAGAAAAUGAAGGCACUUCAUUAGCUGCUUUUCCUUAUAGCUUUCUCUAACAAUAAUUUUUAACAAUAAGUGAUUUUCUCAUAGUUUACAAAACGGGUUGGACUUCCCAAAUUUUUUUUAAAAUCAAUUAUAAUUCCAAAUAAGCAAUGCCAAACGGGAGCUAAAUAUUUAGGCAUGGUGGCAAUCACAGCAAAAAAAUUACAUUGUGCUUUCCACCAUGGCCCGUGAUAUACUAACCAUUCCAAUGUCUUCAGUUGCUUAUGAAUAAGCUUUUAGCAAAGGUGGACUUGUUAUAAGUGACCAUCGAGCAAGUUUGGCUCUAAGUAGUGUUGAAGCAUACGUUUGUGGAAGUGAUUGGAUUAAACAAGAAAAAAAAUGAAAGUCAAGAAGAAAAUGAGUGUACAAGAUGAACAAGAAUGGCCAUAGUGGUUUGUCUGAGAUGCAAAAUAAAUAUUUUCUUUUUUGAUUGUUUUGUAGUCUACUUCAAUUUUGUUUCAACAUAAUUUCAAAAUUUCAAGUAUUGUUAUUAUAUUUAACUAGCCUCUCUGCACGCGCUUCCGCGCUUGCGAGAGGUUUUUUUAAAAAAAAUAAGUAAAUUUAUUUUAGAAUUAAAAAAGAUAAUGGAUAUUUGUGUUCCAUAAAAAUAGGAUCCAUUAUCUGAAUUUUCUUUUAAUUUUAAUUUUUUAAUACGAAAAAUUAUGAAUUUACCAUAUUAUCCUCAUUUAAUUAAUAAUUUCAAUUCUUAAUGUUUGCAUUAACCAAGGGCAUUUUCUGGUAUUUUAAAUGUUUCGCUAUUCUCUGCCUUUUGCUUUAUAUAUAUAGAUUAUGAAUAUAAGAAAGAUAAUGGGUAGUUGUUAUUAUAUUUCAAGGUUUUGUUUGAAGAGUAGAGAGGCUUUUUUUAAAAAAAAAAUUAAAUUUAUUUUAGAAUUAAAAAAAGAUAAUAGGUAGUUGUUUUCCAUAAAAAUAAGAUUCAUUAUCUGAGUUUUCUUUUAAUUUUAAUUUUUUAAUAUGAAAAAGUGUGAAUUUACUAUAUUAUCCUCAUUUAACUAAUAAUUUCAAUUCUUAAUGUUUUCUGGUAUUUUGAAUGUUUUAUCAUUCUUUGUCUUUUGCUUAUAUAUAAUGAAUACUAGCCUCUCCGCACGCACUUCCGCGCUUGCGAGAGGCUUUUUUUAAAAAAAAAUUUAAAUUUAUUUUAGAAUUAAAAAAGAUAAUGGGUAGUUGUGUUCCAUAAAAAUAGGAUCCAUUAUCUGCUUUUUCUUUUUCUUUUUUAAAAUAUAAAAAAGUGUGAAUUUACCGUAUUAUCCUCAUUUAAUUAAUAAUUUGAAUUCUUAAUGUUUGCAUUAACCAAGGGCAUUUUCUGGUAUUUGGAAUGUUUCACCAUUCUCUGCUUUUUGCUUUAUAUAUAUAGAUGAAUGGAGUUUUUAAACAGAAAAAACGAAUGGAGUUUAAUAAAGCCAAAAUAAUGGCCCAUUUCAUAGGGCUAAAUAGGCCCGACUCAUUGGCCCGGUCACAAGCCCGAAAAUGUAAGGCCCAUGAGCUUUGUAUAUUUGACAUAGGACUGACCCGGGAGAAACGUUCCUUUCACUUGACGAAGUUGUUUUCAAAAUGGGUAAUUGCAACCCGAAUGUAACAUAACGAGUUCAACCAUGGGAUCAAUUUGAUGGCUAUAAAAGUGAUCCCGCACAAUUUACCCCGUAUUAUAACCGCGCCAAGCUUGGUAUAUUUGACAUAGGGCUCGAUAACUCUUUAGGGCUGAGAAGGCCCGUUACUAAGCCCGGCCCGUUUUACAAGCCUAAUAACAAUAGAACAAUCAGAGUGAGCAGUCAGUAAAAAUCAGGGCGGGAUUCUUGAAAUUAUUUUCUAACUUUCGUGAAACCUAAUUGAACUCAUAUUCUUUCCAGCCGCCUCCUCUUCACUGUUCUCUCGUCUUCUUCAUAUCUCGACUCUCAUUCAUCGAUCCCCUCUCUAUGCUCAUGAUUCACUGUUGUCAAAUCGCUUGAUUCUCCGGCUUGCUUUGCUCUCUCCUCACAAUAUCAGGUAUAUCUCAUAUUCCGUCUGUAUCUGAGAUAUGAUUUUUUCUCUGAUUUUGUCUAUAUAUGUUUAUUUGGUUUCUGGGUAAAAGUAACGUCAAAUUUUUAAUAUUUCCAUUUUGAUAAUUAUUGAUGCCAUCUCUAUUUGCUAUUUGAUGUUCCUUCUUUCUAGUUUUUCAGUUUUUUUAGUAUUUAAAUCCUAUUUGCAUUUGUUCUCUGUGGUUCAACAUGUCAUAUUCAUUGUUGUUUUUUCGGUACUUACAAUUUUCUCUUUUAUAUUCUGAGGGCUCUCUAACACAGGUAAAAGAGUUGCCUUUACUGUUUUUUGUAUAAUAUUUGCCUUCAUUGUUGUUUAUAUUCUCAUGGAUUUUCCGAAGCUUUUUUCGGCUCAUAACUCUAUUGGAUGUGGAUCUUCUGUAUUGGAAGAUAAGGAAUUUCUCUCUUUUAUUUUCUUCCUCUAGUGCGAGAGAGACCUCGACCUUCUUCGUUUGCCGCCGUCUCUUCCUCCAGUCAUCAGCUCAACUUCGCAACCAUGGUAUUUCUCUAUCCAAUUCUCUGUUUGUUUCCUGUGAAACUGAAAUGAAAAUGAAAAAGAAAAAGUUUGUUUGUUCAUGGUUCUGAUAUGUUACAUUUGGUUUUUUCUAUCCUAGAUCAUCUCAGAGAAGAACAGGAGAGAAAUCUCCAAAUACCUAUUCCAAGGUACACGCAAAAAGAUUAGUUUUUUAUUUAUUCUCAAUGAAAUUAGGUUCUUCGUUUCCAUUUUUUUGUUAAAAUUUAUUGAAUUUAAUUUGAACAGAGGGAGUGUGCUAUGCAAAGAAGGACUAUAACUUGGCAAAGCACCCAGAAAUCGAUGUGCCAAAUCUGCAGGUGAUUAAGCUGAUGCAGAGCUUCAAAUCCAAGGAGUAUGUGAGAGAAACUUUUGCUUGGAUGCACUACUACUGGUACCUGACCAAUGAUGGUAUUGAGUUUUUGAGGAACUACCUCAACCUUCCAUCUGAGAUUGUCCCUGCAACUUUGAAGAAGCAGGCCAAGCCUCCUGGUCGCCCCUUGGGCCCAUCUGGUGACCGCCCACGGUAAUUGAUUUGUUUCAUCGUCUAUAUUGGUUAUUGGAUCUAUUGAUUUUUGUAGAGUCUGGUUCUUUGUUCUAGAGUAUGUGAUAUCGAUCAUUUAGGAAGAAGUUAUUUAACUGAUUUGUGUAAGUAAACUGCGACAGAUAUGUGCUUCCUUUUCUUGUUCGUUUGUUGAACCCCUUGAUUGGUUGGAAUGUAAUGUGGAUGUUUUGAUGAUGUGAACAGCGGCCCACCUCGCUUUGAUGGAGGAGAACGCAGAUUUGGUGACAGGGAUGGGUACCGUUCAGGUCCUCGUGCACCAGGGGGUGAUUUUGGUGACAAGGGUGGAGCACCUGCUGACUACAGACCUUCUUUUGGGGUAAUAUUUCCGUUGUCAAGUAAUUUUUUUAAUAUUUAUCAUUUAGGUACUUGUCUUUUUACCAUGUAUUGGGUUGAAGAUCAAUUGCCUUCCGAUGAUAUUCUUUUCUUCUUUACAUUUUGGAAUUGUA